rnacentral:rRNA from 1 species
GAUGAACGCUGGCGGCGUGCCUAAUACAUGCAAGUCGAGCGAACAGACGAGGAGCUUGCUCCUCUGACGUUAGCGGCGGACGGGUGACUAACACGUGGAUAACCUACCUAUAAGACUGGGAUAACUUCGGGAAACCGGAGCUAAUACCGGAUAAUAUAUUGAACCGCAUGGUUCAAUAGUGAAAGACGGUUUUGCUGUCACUUAUAGAUGGAUCCGCGCCGCAUUAGCUAGUUGGUAAGGUAACGGCUUACCAAGGCAACGAUGCGUAGCCGACCUGAGAGGGUGAUCGGCCACACUGGAACUGAGACACGGUCCAGACUCCUACGGGAGGCAGCAGUAGGGAAUCUUCCGCAAUGGGCGAAAGCCUGACGGAGCAACGCCGCGUGAGUGAUGAAGGUCUUCGGAUCGUAAAACUCUGUUAUUAGGGAAGAACAAAUGUGUAAGUAACUAUGCACGUCUUGACGGUACCUAAUCAGAAAGCCACGGCUAACUACGU